AGUGAACGCUGGCGGUAGGCCUAACACAUGCAAGUCGAACGGCAGCACAGGAGAGCUUGCUCUCUGGGUGGCGAGUGGCGGACGGGUGAGGAAUACAUCGGAAUCUACUCUGUCGUGGGGGAUAACGUAGGGAAACGUACGCUAAUACCGCAUACGACCUACGGGUGAAAGCAGGGGACCUUCGGGCCUUGCGCGAUUGAAUGAGCCGGUGUAGGAUUAGGUAGUUGGCGGGGUAAAGGCCGACCAAGGCGACGAUCCGUAGCUGGUCUGAGAGGAUGAUCAGCCACACUGGAAAUGAGACACGGUCCAGACUCCUACGGGAGGCAGCAGUGGGGAAUAUUGGACAAUGGGCGCAAGCCUGAUCCAGCCAUACCGCGUGGGUGAAGAAGGCCUUCGGGUUGUAAAGCCCUUUUGUUGGGAAAAAAAUCCAGCUGGCUAAUACCCGGUUGGGAUGACGGUACCCAAAGAAUAAGCACCGGCUAACUUCGUGCCAGCAGCCGCCGUAA
rnacentral:rRNA from 1 species